UCAUUAUAAAAAAAAUUUUACCAAAAAAAAAAAAAAGUGUUGACAAGGCUGUGUUCCUUUGGGAGGCUGGAAGGGGAAGAUCGUUUCCUCAUCUUGUCCCGUUUCUAGAGGCCACCUGCACCCUUUGGUCAUGGCUUCUUCCUCCCAUCUUCAAAGCCACCAUCUUCAAAUCUGUUUCCCACCUUGACGCCACUUCUCUCACUUAGAAGGUGCCAUGAUCACAGUGGGCUCUCCUGAGUAACUCAGGCUCAUCUCCCCAUGGCCAGGUUAACUGGUUAGCAGCCUAAACUCUGCCUGCACCUUGAAGGCCCCCUCGCCAUGUAAUGUAGCCUGUGCACAAGUUCUGGGGGUGGGACAUGGACAUUCUUGGGGAGAGAGAGAGAUCACCCCCGUGGGGGGGCCACCACGGGGUAAUCAUGGAGUCCCACAUCCUCAUUCUAAACUCCAGGACACUUGGGCUCAGGGAGUUUAUGUGAAUUUCAGCCGUUUCCUCUGCAGGAGGGAAAACCCCUUCUUGAGCCGGGCUAAUCUGUCCGUGAAGCCCUGAGUAGGACUCAGCCAGAGGCCGGUGGUUCCCUCUUCCUCUAGUUCUUCCUCCUCACUGUGCCGCAUGGCUUUUCCUCUAUCUAGGGCUGUGUCCGGUGGGCGCACUCUCCCUCAACCUGACUUAAGGGACGGUGGUAAUUGCAUGGUGUCAGGAAGUGAAUCCUACCCAUCCAUUAGAGACUGACUGUUUUGGCAGAAGCAUGAGUUUUUAGAAAUGUGGCCGCCAGGUGCAUAGGUGGAGAUGCCAAGCUCAGAGAGCCCAGGGGUCCCGAGAGUCUGGGAUCCUGGAACUUCCCCCUUGAGAAGUCCAUGAAAAGGAGCUGAAGAGUGAGCCCCAACUGGCUGGUUUGCAGCUGACAGCGACAUUUCUGUUUGGCCAGCCUCUCUGGGUUUCUCAGUUUGCACACCCUGUUGGUCCAGAACUGGCCCCCACAUACAAGAGAGUUUGGGCUGCCAGGUGUCCCCUGCGGAGAUGCUGGUGACUCUGGUACAGAGGCCAAAUGCAAGGUGGCAGAUGGUCUAGUCAACCCAAGAGGUCUCCUUGCAAAGUCAGGACUAAAGAAGACACAGGAAGACUUAGCAGGGGAGACUUCCGCUUGAAAAGAGUGACCCAUGACUGGAGGGAGCAGAUGCCUAGUGGAGGAAGCUGUGUCUCAUUCAUAGUCACCUCCUCCCAAGUCAUGUCUUCCUGCGCAUCUACCCAGUCCUCCACCUUCGCUGCUGUAACUAGAGCCGGAAAGUGACAAGAGCUUGCUGAGCAUGGCUUCCGACUACAAACCCCAGGGCCCAAGAUCACAUUACUUAGAAGGUGAAUUCUGCAGAACUCGGAAAUGAAGCCAGUCUGGGGAGGAAACAAGGCCUUGUAAGAGGCAGUCGUGGUACCACCAAGGGCGGCAGCCCUCCGCUCUGGAGGAGAAUCGCGAGGAACGGCAGCGUGCUGUUGAGUCACAGAAAAGUCUCCUCGGGAUAAGACUACAGAGAUGUUCCCAGCAGCUGCAGCCAAGGAGGCAGGACACCUGCCUCUCCCAAGGACGAGUCAAUUCAGAAGCAGCAGCCGUCCCAGGAAGCUUCCAGUUCCUUUCUACCAGCACCUUCGGAGCUGCACCCUCAAGGCUGCGCCAUCGAUGCUGUAAGAGGUGGGAAGGGGGCCAUGAAGGAAGGCAUGACCGCCCGCUGGGAUGCAGCCAGACUGGAUGUGACUCGCCAUGUGAGGCACCAGUGCGCCCACCCCUGACCCCAGUCUCUCUUUUGGAGACUGGGAAGCAGCUGCCAGCUUCUGAGAUGCACAGACUGGAAUAAGAGAACCUAGUAGAAAUGGAAAGAGAAGCAAGAGGUCCAGAGCCCAGGCAAACGUCAUUGGAAAGUAGCCAGCAUGGAGUUACCGCUGUCCCUCCUUUUGGUGUUCUCGUAUUGUCUGGAUCUGGGAAGCCGGCAUUAAAAAGAAAAAAAAAAAAAAAUCAAGGUUUACAAGCUGUAAUGGAUGUUUUUCUCUUUAUUUCGAAGUCCACUUUAGGCCCCCUUCCUUCCUUGCUGACCCUGAAGAGUGUGGUGGGAAAGAGGUCAAGGCACCCACCUGCUCUGGCCUGUGGUCUUUAUCUUCCUUGCAAGCCAUAUGAUUUUAGUCAAGACACUCAAUAUCUGCUAGUGGACAGUAAUAAAGAACGUCGCAGCGAUCUCACUGGUUCCUCCUUCCAGUCGACGGGAUGGCGAAUGCACGAGUAUUUUGUAAAGAGAGUGCCAAGUGCCAAAUAGGCUUCCAUGACAAGUAGAACUCGCUGUCACAUAAUCUGAAGGUCAGAAUGUCAAUGAACAAGGCAAUUUCUAUCUUUUUAUUCCUUGGGACAAAUGCUAUGUCGCGUUUGUAUCUCUUAUGUUUUACUGUGUCAGUAUUGUGAUCCUUGAGGGAUUAGAACUGAUAAGGAAACUUUCAUUUAUAGGAAACCUUUUUUUUUUUUUUUUAAAGAUUUUUGCUAUAGGGGGCAUGCGCUCUCCAGAGAC